rnacentral:rRNA from 1 species
AAUCAUGGCUCAGGAUGAACGCUAGCUACAGGCUUAACACAUGCAAGUCGAGGGGCAUCAGGGUGUAGCAAUACACCGCUGGCGACCGGCGCACGGGUGAGUAACACGUAUCCAACCUGCCCUUUACUCGGGGAUAGCCUUUCGAAAGAAAGAUUAAUACCCGAUGGUAUAACAUGACCUCCUGGUUUUGUUAUUAAAGAAUUUCGGUAGAGGAUGGGGAUGCGUUCCAUUAGGCAGUUGGCGGGGUAACGGCCCACC